rnacentral:rRNA from 1 species
AUUGAACGCUGGCGGCAGGCUUAACACAUGCAAGUCGAGCGGAGAGAGGUAGCUUGCUACUGAUCUUAGCGGCGGACGGGUGAGUAAUGCUUAGGAAUCUGCCGAUUAGUGGGGGACAACAGUUCGAAAGGCAUGAUGAUACCGCAUACGUACUACGGGAGAAAGGAGGGGAUCUUCGGAGCUGGCGCUAUUAGAUGAGCGUAGGUCGGUUUAGCUAGUUGGUGGGGUAAAGGCCUACCAAGGCGACGAUCUGUAGCGGGUCUGAGAGGAUGAUCCGCCACACUGGGACUGAGACACGGCCCAGACUCCUACGGGAGGCAGCAGUGGGGAAUAUUGGACAAUGGGCGGAAGCCUGAUCCAGCCAUGCCGCGUGUGUGAAGAAGGCCUUAUGGUUGUAAAGCACUUUAAGCGAGGAGGAGGCUACUUUAGUUAAUACCCAGAGAUAGUGGACGUUACUCGCAGAAUAAGCACCGGCUAACUCUGUGCCAGCAGCCGCGGUAA